UACGGAGGGGGCUAGCGUUGUUCGGAAUUACUGGGCGUAAAGAGUGUGUAGGCGGUGUUCCCAGUCUGUUGUGAAAUCUCCCGGCUUAACUGGGAGGGUGCAGCGGAAACUAGAAUGCUAGAGGGUGGGAGAGGUAAGCGGAAUUCCUGGUGUAGCGGUGAAAUGCGUAGAUAUCAGGAGGAACACCUGUGGUGUAGACAGCUUACUGGACCACUUCUGACGCUGAGACACGAAAGCGUGGGUAGCAAACAGG
rnacentral:rRNA from 1 species